rnacentral:rRNA from 1 species
AUUGAACGCUGGCGGCAGGCCUAACACAUGCAAGUCGAACGAGUGGCGGACGGGUGAGUAAUAUCUGGGAAACUGCCUGAUAGCGGGGGAUAACUACUGGAAACAGUAGCUAAUACCGCAUACCAUCAGAUGUGCCCAUAUGGGAUUAGCUAGUUGGUGGGGUAACGGCUCACCAAGGCGACGAUCCCUAGCUGGUCUGAGAGGAUGACCAGCCACACUGGAACUGAGACACGGUCCAGACUCCUACGGGAGGCAGCAGUGGGGAAUAUUGGACAAUGGGCGCAAGCCUGAUGCAGCCAUGCCGCGUGUAUGAAGAAGGCCUUCGGGUUGUAAAGUACUUUCAGCGGGGAGGCGGUACCCGCAGAAGAAGCACCGGCUAACUCCGUGCCAGCAGCCGCGGUAAUAC